ensembl:lncRNA
UCCUUGUAUAGUAAAUUGGUUUUGUUAAUAUUAAAUAUGCAAUUUUAUUUCACUCAGCUGCCCCUCCGCUAACUGCCCAUAUCUGUGGGCAGACUUGGUAGACCCUUCCAUGGUUUCCAGUAGUUCCAGGAUGGAACCCUUUACUAUCAUUUUUUUUUUUUUUUAAAUCUCACAAUUACUGGAUUAUUUUGUGUGGCUUAAGCAAGUCAUUAAAAAUAUGUCUAUAUGUAUUAACAACAACAACAACAAGGAUCCCUUAGCUUCCAGUAUAUCUUUCUUAUAUUCGUCUAAAAAAACUUGCAUAGCACAAGCUGUAAUUGUAAUUUCCACUGAGUAGUAGUUAGCUUAGGCAUAGAAAUCUAGGUUCAGAGUAGCUAGCAAUACUAGCACUGCAAGGAAUUCCUAGCUGGCCACGGUCCUCAUGCCCCGCCAGUCUCCUCAUAGGCUUUAAAGGUAUAAAUAGAGAUACCCUGGCAUAUCUCUCUUCCUGUCCUUCCAAGCUUCCAGAAGGGAUGACUCCUACUGUGCUUUGUUGCUAUAGAAAGGUCUGGCUCAUGGUUUGGCAGCUCAAAAGACUGUAUAGGAAAACAUGUCUUUGGUGGAGAUUAAAAAUGACUAUCGGUCUCCCUUUCUAAAUGAGAAGGGAGAAACCUAAUGGCAUUGAUGGACAAGGUCUCAGUAUCAGAAGUGACUUUGGCUGGAGGUCCUACGUGAACUUCAAACAUUGGAUGAUUUGAGGAAAGACAUGUUCUUACUUCAGUGUUGUUACUGGCAGUCUCCUCCUUCCUGCCCUAUUACUGAGUAUGGGCUAAAAUGCCACAUUUCUGAAGUGUUAGUAAUGCCACAGGAUGAUAAAAAUUUAAACGUAUCAGGCUGGAAUUUCAGAGCAAAGCCAGUUUUAUUUAGACUGCUACUUGAACUUCUGCAUUUUCUUCAGUGCAAUUUUUCUGUCUCAAAAUUCUCAGCCAUUUUUCCAUGCUGUGCUGCAAGGCUGGUACCUGUUUCAAGCUAGGAAGGAGUUUAAUAAAAAUAAGAGGAAGAUCUUUACAGAGAAGACAUCCUUCGUCUGCAGUAUCUCUCCUAAAUCCACUAUUCACCUUGAUCUACUCAAAAGCACUAAGUUGCUGUACACUGUGGUUCUGCUGCUGCGUUCUGGUGAAGGUAAAGACUCUUGCGUAUGUCUGCACUGGAUCCCUGCAGCAACAUGUCACUGUGCAUCUUUUGUGGAUAUGUGGAUAUGCUUGUAAAUCUGUUUUCUGGAUUGUUUGGGAGGUUGGAAGGUGAUCCUAAGUGUGUCCAAGGAAGGAAAGCAUUACAGUGAGCAGAGAUGAAUACAGAUACAAAUGUCCCAUCGACUGCUUAGAAGCCAUACUAUUUGACAGCAUUUGGUUGAGGUUUUCCAUAUGUCAACGUAGUAGAAACUACAGAUUUCAAAAUUGAAUUUUUGUGAAAGUUGAAAGAAUUUUCUGUAGUAUUUUAAAGGAUUUUGAGGACACACUGUUGGGAUCUAAUUUGUACAUUCUCAGAAUGAGAAUAUGCUUAACUCUGGCUACAGCAAAGCAUUUAUGAAAACGUUCUCUUGCUAAUACAGAUCUUCUAGUUCUUUGACACACCUGCACCAUUUUUAAACAUGUCCAAGGAACUAGGUAAAUACAGAGACUAUUUGGCCAGACCCAGCUUUGUCUGCUACUGAGAUUCUGCUGCCAGCUACAGCCAGGUGGUAAAUUCAAGCCCAGCUUAAGGAUAUUUUUUUAAGAUGCAGUCAGUUCAGCAAAGACCACCUGGGAGCGGAGCAGAGAUUGCUGUUUAAGGAAUUGAGCUGACGUAACAGCUCCAGUAUAUCUCCCAGUAAUUGAACUGGAAAUGCUGUCCUCUGCUUUUAGGAUUUACAGAAGGUUGGUCUGCUUUGACCUGACGGCAAUUUUAAAUAGUAUGGUUAAGUUUUUUCAGUUUCCACAACCAACUGAACACAGUCAUGUGGCACGGACCACAGCCAAUGCCUUUGACCACCUGCAUAUGUGACCAGUUGCCCAUUGAUUAGGGGCUGACUUACAUAGAAUUUUAGUCUCAUUCCUGUAAGUUCCACAAUAAGCUUGACUAUGUGUGACCAUGUGUAAACAAGUGUAUAUAGGCGUCUGAUUUUAGCAAAGACAUCCUUGAACUUCAGUAUUUAACCUGAAGUCAGCCCUGGUUUUAAGUAUGGUGAGGUUGAACCCUCUUCUCCUUCUCUAGUCUGCUCCCCUUGAAAAUAACCUGUACAUUACCACAUUAUGUCAGCAUUUAG